UACGAAGGGGGCAAGCGUUGUUCGGAAUUACUGGGCGUAAAGGGCGCGCAGGCGGCCAAUCAAGUCAGGCGUGAAAGCCCCGGGCUUAACCUGGGAAAUGCGUUUGAGACUGAUAGGCUUGAGUUCGGGAGAGGAUAGUGGAAUUCCCAGUGUAGAGGUGAAAUUCGUAGAUAUUGGGAAGAACACCGGUGGCGAAGGCGGCUAUCUGGACCGAUACUGACGCUGAGGCGCGAAAGCGUGGGGAGCAAACAGG
rnacentral:rRNA from 1 species